UAUCACCUAAUGUUUCUGAUAUACAGAAUUGUGUGCUGCAAAUGGUUGAAAAGAUUUUAGUUUCAACACCUAAUUCCCAUCAUUCUGUGGCAAAAUAUAUCUUGAGUUCUGAUGGGCGCCAGAACACAUCUGAAGAUUGAAUGAAACUUCUAAAGUGAUAACAAGGCCCGUCCUGUACUUCACAGAAGACUUCUGAGGGUCAAAGAGAAGAUUUAUAGUUCUGGGGGUCAGAAGUCCAAGCUGAGUUUCACUGGCCCAAAUUCAAGAGUACCAGGCCAGAUUUCCAAAUGGGACAACAGGUGGAACU